UUUUUAGGAGUGUGGUAGCAGUGGUGUCUAAGAUUUUGGGGUGAGGAGCUAAAGACAUUCAGAUGCUGACGGAGGCUUGGCACCAUUGACCAAAAGGGCUUAUGAAAGCAGAGCUCUUCUUCCUAGUAAGUGGUGCUGAAUCUCGCACAGAGGAGUUUGCUUGGUACGGAGGGGAGCGGGCAGUGCCCGUGAUCUCCCAGCGCCGCGCUCAGCCGCUCCCGGUGAAAGCCGCUCCGAUGCUUUCAUAGGGAAAGCAACAGCACCUACGUGUGGCCAGCCCGAGUGAGGCGUUUGUAACCGUGUGGACCUGGUCCUACAAACCUGAGCUGAAAGGGAUCUCUAGGAAAAACCUGAAUCACAAAAUCGGGAUAGCGUGGGUCAGUUUUGGUCCCUGCUAUACAAAAAAAGAUGUGGACGCGAUGGAGAGGGCCCACAGAAUGACCACAAAGAUGAUCCAAGGACUGAGAAGCCACAUGAGGAAAGGCUGAGAUGGGUUUAUUCAGCCUUGAGAAAAGAAGGCUUAGGGAAGACCUUAUCGCAGUGUUCCGGUAUUUAAACAGUGGCUACAAAGAAGGAGGAGACUCCCUUUUUGCAAGGAGGCACAUGGAAAAGACAAGGCAGGACAAGGUGUUAUACAGGAGGCACCUGUGCUUCUGGGGUGUUUUGGAGGGAUUUUCACAAGACUUUUGGUUUCCCAGGAAGCAUGAAAUCAAAUCCCAGCUCUGAGUGUCAUUGCUGAGGAGGGGAAUUGUGUAAUCCAAACCCUCAGCCUGUC